UACGAAGGGGGCUAGCGUUGCUCGGAAUCACUGGGCGUAAAGCGCACGUAGGCGGGUCUUUAAGUCAGGGGUGAAAUCCUGGAGCUCAACUCCAGAACUGCCUUUGAUACUGAGGAUCUCGAGUCCGGGAGAGGUGAGUGGAACUCCGAGUGUAGAGGUGAAAUUCGUAGAUAUUCGGAAGAACACCAGUGGCGAAGGCGGCUCACUGGCCCGAUACUGACGCUGAGGCACGAAAGCGUGGGGAGCAAACAGG
rnacentral:rRNA from 1 species